rnacentral:lncRNA from 1 species
AUCAACGUUGCGCCCAGGACAACACUUGCUGCAGCCAAGAAACAGAAAGUGUAUAUGUAUUCGUUCAUCCCCUUGGUCUUAGGGUUGCCCCUCAGACGACGUAGAUACCACCUCCUGGCACCGCCGUACCGGAAAGCACUUUUCCGGUACGGGCAGAGCCAGCAGCAUUCCAGGUUCAGAAUUGAACCCAAAGGCAGAAAUCACCAUUCUGAGAGUUGAACGUCGCCAUCCAUGAUUUAGACAUACCAUUCCAUGGCCUGUGCAUGCGCGUCCGUGUCCUUCACUACGUUGCCAUCACGUCCACCAACGCACACUUGACAUCCGUCCUGUCCGGAGCCGUCGUCGCGAGCUUCGACAACAUGAAUGUAAGCAACAUUCGGAACAUCCGUCCUGUUUGCAUGGGAUUGUCGUCCUCCCGCCGGCGGAAAAGCCACUCAACGUAUUGCUUAAGAAUUCCUACCCAAGCCUAUAACACAAACAUAAUAACAUUGUCCUAGCAUUCCAUAGCCCUACUUGACUUGCCUACAAGUCCACAGCAACGAGUUGCCCCGGUCGGACCCUCCAAGUCUAGCCCAGUAGCUUACUGUGGGCUGACGUUAGUGAACAUGGAAUGCAAGCUGUGUGUGUGCUCAUCCCCUUUGAAAAAGGUUCGACUACGACUUGACACACAGACUCCCUCCUGCAACAAAUGCCCAUUUUCUGUACGAGCGUGACGAGCAACAUAAGAGAUCCAGAACCGACCACACCGGCAGAAUUCAUCGUUCAGUUCCUUAAACCUUCAUUUACGGUUUCCCUACAAACAGCUCCAUGCCUUGGAUAUGCGUCUGUUUUCUUCCUUACGAACAUCACAUUUUACGUUCGUCAGGGCAGAGUCUUUGUAGCAAUCUUUCAUAUUCAGCACGCAAUGAACCCUUCAUGGACACCAGCUGCAUUAGCCUGGCUUGUCGUCCUUGCGGCAGCCUGGGCAAAUGGCCCAACGCGAUUUAAGUAUGCUGCUGCUUGCGGCCAAGAAACAAGCAUUCCAAAACUGUCAUAUCAUCCCCUGGUUUCGUUGUAUUUGGUUUGCAUACAAGUCGACGCGGAUACUACCUGCUGUGACCGCCGUAUCAGAAGACACUUUUCCUGUACGGGCGGAACCAACAACAGCGAAGUUCAAAAAACCCGACUAGUAGCUAAAAGUCAGCAUUCAUAGAGUUAAACGUCCCCGUCUGUGACUUGUACAUAACAAUCCAAGCAUCUCCUAAGCGUCUUUCUCCCCCUUCGUAAGGCCAUCGCGUCCACCAACGCACGUCUUACAUCCGCCCAGUACAGUGCCGUUGAAGCUGUGACGAGUAAUAUGAACGCUUAAGUAAUUCAUGAACAUCCGCUGCGUUUGCCUAGCAUUGUCGUAAAGGAGGUCGCGUCGGCAUCAGGCCAUCAACGUUGCGCCCAGGACAACACUUGCUGCAGCCAAGAAACAGAAANNNNNNNNNNNNNNNNNNNNNNNNNNNNNNNNNNNNNNNNNNNNNNNNNNGUUUAAGAUUUUGUUCCGUGGCAGUCCAACAACACGUCUACAUGCUAUUCUUCUGAAGCUGGAUGUGUUACGACCUUCGUAGCACUUAGGGCGCCUGCCGGUGAACGAGGAAUGUUUGCGAAAUUUUGCGAAGCUACGCAGGCGACGGGCGGGCCCCGCACUGGGUACGGAUGGAGCACUGGAAGUCCAGCCAUGAAAUACCAACAGGAUAGCUUUUCGAGAUUUUUCUUUUUAACAAAUUCUAUUACACAGAACAAAUGAUGCGGAUACAUGCCGCAUAAUCCAUGGGAUGCCAUAAGCAGGUCUCCGAUCAUUACCCUGCUGGCAAGAAGUCACCUUUCAUAUUACACGAAUAUUAUGUACAAAUAUAGGAUUGAAGUGCACUGCAGAAGGGCAGCAGAGUUUAUUUGACAUGUUGCACAUGCAAUGUCAUCUGGGCCAGAGGCAUUACAGCAAAGAUUUGGCAUAAUGGUCUGUGUUUGCAAAAUGGUUAUGCAAGCAUAGAAAGCAUUAUUGCUAAUAGGGUGAGCCGUAUCAGAUCUAAGUACGUUCCCCGAACAAACGGGAUGCGCAAUCGACGUUAGACUUUCAGAACCGAGCGAAAAGACAGAAAUCCCUGCUCCGAAUAUUAACGCUUACAGUCCAUCAUCCUUACUUAGCGUUCCAUGCACCGCGGAGCUAACUCUUCAUCCGUUUCCUUCCUUACAAUGCACAUCCGUCAGGGCCAGAGUCUUUGUGGCAAUCUUUCAUAUUCAGCACGCAAUGAACCCUUCAUGGACACCAGCUGCAUUAGCCUGGCUUGUCGUCCUUGCGGCAGCCUGGGCAAAUGGCCCAACGCGAUUUAAGUAUGCUGCUGCUUGCGGCCAAGAAACAAGCAUUUCCAAAACUGUCAUUUAAUCCCCUGGUUUCGUUGUAUUUGGUUUGCAUACAAGUCGACGCGGAUACUACCUGCUGUGACCGCCGUAUCAGAAGACACUUUUCCUGUACGGGCGGAACCAACAACAGCGAAGUUCAAAAAACCCGACUAGUAGCUAAAAGUCAGCAUUCAUAGAGUUAAACGUCCCCGUCCGUGACUUGUACAUAACAAUCCAAGCAUCUCCUAAGCGUCUUUCUCCCCCUUCGUAAGGCCAUCGCGUCCACCAACGCACGUCUUACAUCCGCCCAGUACAGUGCCGUUGAAGCUGCGACGAGUAAUAUGAACGCUUAAGUAAUUCAUGAACAUCCGCUGCGUUUGCCUAGCAGUGUCGUAAAGGAGGUCGCGUCGGCAUCAGGCCAUCAACGUUGCGCCCAGGACAACACUUGCUGCAGCCAAGAAACCCUAAGUAUAUCUCUAUGCGUUCAUCCCCUUAGUCUUAGGGUUGCCCCUAAGACGACGUAGAUACCACCUCCUGACACCGCCGUACCGGAAAGCACUUUUCCGGUACGGGCAGAGCCAGCAGCAUUCCAGGUUCAGAAUUGAACCCAAAGGCAGAAAUCACCAUUCUGAGAGUUGAACGUCGCCAUCCAUGAUUUAGACAUACCAUUCCAUGGCCUGUGCAUGCGCGUCCGUGUCCUUCACUACGUUGCCAUCACGUCCACCAACGCACACUUGACAUCCGUCCUGUCCAGAGCCGUCGUCGCGAGCUUCGACAACAUGAAUGUAAGCAACAUUCGGAACAUCCGUCCUG